CUUUCACCACUCGGACACCAUCACCUAUGGACGGGCUUUGUGCUUUUGCAGUCGUCCUCUUAGCUUUUUCCUGGAGUCAGCAUUGGAUUUAUGGAUCGAAGGUGACUGUUCGUCCAGGAGACAACGUCACUCUCUACUGUGACUGCAGACCAUCAUCUGGAGUAUACAUAGUGUGGUUCAGGAACUGUUCCCAUGAGAACCAGCCUACUUUUGUUUUAAGUGUAAAAGAUCAUUAUCGGUGGACUGACGCCCAUUUUAAAUUUGUAAAGAACGUUUCUACUGAUUCCUAUGACCUGCUGAUCAGGAACAUCACCAGUGCUGAUGAAGGUCUCUACUACUGUGGAACUGAAAAGACCAAGGUGGAGGAUAAAGAAUUCAUCACUACUAGACAUAUUUACAAGUAUGGCAACACCACAACGACGGUCACAAGUUGAGUUCGCCUAAUUAUACCAACCCGGUGUUUGAUCCAGACUCCACUGAGCCUCGUCCUCCAAGCUGUAGCGUGUGCUGGAUGCUGCUGUUCUCUCUGUGUCCACUCUUUGCCGGUGUCUCCUCUCUCCUCUCCUCUCUGCUGGUUUGUCACCUCUGUAGGAAAAGAGGUGAAAAACUUCAAGCUGAUCAUCCAAACCCUGAAGCUACAAGCCCAACACAACAAAAUCAGGGUGAAGACGUGUGUUACGCUGCGCUGGAAAUUCGUCAGCCAUCACGGAGACCAAAGAAGGAAAGACUCCGGAGUUCUGACUUCAGCACAUAUUCUGCUGUGAGAACUUCUGGGAUGGAGAAGGACUAAAGCAAGAAGAAGAAAUGCUUUUAUGAUGAUUUGCCAGUGUGGGGAAAACAAACAUUUGAUCUUCUUCAAUGUGUGUGUGUGUGUGUGUGUGUGUGUGUUCCCAGCAGAACAUUCUAUUAUCACAAGAUAGUCAUUGUUAUUUACUUCUCCUGUCAGUAGUUUUAAUGUUGCGGCUGAUCGGUGUGUAAACGUGGUACACUUGCCUUUUCAAUCAUUUCUUGAC